UGGAACUCAAACUCAGUGCUGCUUCCAUCCAUGCGAUGGUGGUGUCUUCAACCCUCGUCGGACAUGUUAUGCAACCUGUGGGAGCUGUUCAAGGAGUCAUCUGUGCGACCACAACAACUGUACGAGAUAUCCACCCUAAGGUAAGAUGCGGAAUGAGCCGCUGUAGUGGAGUCGAGGUUGAAGUAAAAACGCAAGUUUGCUGUGCAAACAUAUGUGUAUCGGGAAAAAACAUUGGGCCUCAGCGGGGAUGAGUAGGUGACUGAGGGGUAAGCUCCAUUGGUCGAUGGUUGUGGAACAGUGGGCAUUUCAUAAGUCCAAGGGAGUACGCCACAAGUGGAAUGCUGCCACAGGGCAUCUGCAGUUCUAUCCUGCAGGUGGCCAGCCCAGCUCCAGCUCCCUAGCUUCCAGCUCCCUAGCUGGAACACAGAAUUAGGGUUUAGGCUUUUAGUACUCCUCCGGGCAUCCGUGUAAAGUUUUGGCGCAGAUCCUGCACUGCGAGCUUCCUGCCGUGCACAGGUAUCUAAUCAGAACUUGGGAAUGUACGUAGGGAGAUCGCUUAAAAGUGGGGCAAACGAGCAU
rnacentral:lncRNA from 1 species